rnacentral:rRNA from 1 species
AUUGAACGCUGGCGGCAUGCUUUACACAUGCAAGUCGAACGGUAACAGGCCGCAAGGUGCCGACGAGUGGCGAACGGGUGCGUAAUGCAUCGGAACGUGCCCAGUCGUGGGGGAUAACUACUCGAAAGAGUAGCUAAUACCGCAUACGAUCUAUGGAUGAAAGCGGGGGACCGUAAGGCCUCGCGCGAUUGGAGCGGCCGAUGUCAGAUUAGGUAGUUGGUGGGGUAAAGGCUCACCAAGCCAACGAUCUGUAGCUGGUCUGAGAGGACGACCAGCCACACUGGGACUGAGACACGGCCCAGACUCCUACGGGAGGCAGCAGUGGGGAAUUUUGGACAAUGGGCGCAAGCCUGAUCCAGCAAUGCCGCGUGCAGGAAGAAGGCCUUCGGGUUGUAAACUGCUUUUGUACGGAACGAAACGGCUCUGGUUAAUACCCGGGGCUAAUGACGGUACCGUAAGAAUAAGCACCGGCUAACUACGUG